rnacentral:misc_RNA from 1 species
GAAAUGCGAUAAGUAAUGUGAAUUGCAGAAUUCAGUGAAUCAUCGAAUCUUUGAACGCACAUUGCGCCCGCCGGUAUUCUGGCGGGCAUGCCUGUUCGAGCGUCACUUCAACUCCUCAGGCCCUCUUUGGCCUGGUGUUGGGGACCGGCGGGACGACCGCCGCCCCCGAAACGAAUCGGCGGCCGCGCCGCGGCCUCUCCUGCGUAGUAGCUAACGACCUCGCAGCGGGAGCCCGGCGCGGCCACGGCCGUGAAAACAAACGCUCAAGAGUUGACCUCGAAUCAGGUAGGAGUACCCGCUGAACUUAA